rnacentral:rRNA from 1 species
GCAGCCGCGGUAAUACGUAGGUGGCAAGCGUUAUCCGGAUUUACUGGGUGUAAAGGGCGUGUAGACGGGUUUGAAAGUCAGGCGUGAAAUACCGCAGCUUAACUGCGGGGCUGCGCUUGAAACUUCAAAUCUUGAGUGCUGGAGAGGAAAGCGGAAUUCCUAGUGUAGCGGUGAAAUGCGUAGAUAUUAGGAGGAACACCAGUGGCGAAGGCGGCUUUCUGGACAGUAACUGACGUUGAGGCGCGAAAGUGUGGGGAGCAAACAGGAUUAGAUACCCC